UGCUAUCUAAUUCACAUGCUUCUAUUAUCUAUAUGGGAUGUGCGUAGCACUUACCAGUGUUAUAGUUCAGUGCUUAUCAUUCUAGAAUAAGUUGGGCAAACUGGUUAAUUCAGCUAAUAUGUCUUUGGGUUUAUUAUUCAAGUGGCUAGGUUGUUUGAUCAUCGCUGGACUUUUGAACAAUUGCCCAUAAUGAAAUAUGGCACAUUGAACUUUUAUGUGUUUUAAGAAGAAAAUAAACAUAACCUUCUGAAUGAUGCGCACUCUCUUGUGCAUUCGGGGAAAAAAGGAAGAAAAACAAAUAUAGACAUAACCCGAUCUGAUCUCUAUUACAGACUAGCCAUUGUAGUACAUAAUGCAUGACUUCUGAUCACUUAGUUAGCAUAAACUCAAGUAUAUAUGCAUUCGGUGAAAAGGGAAGAAAAACAAAUAUAGACAUAACCUGAUCUGAUCUCUAUUACAGUCUAGCCAUUGUAGUACAUAAUGCAUGACUUCUGAUCACUUAGUUAGCAUAAACUUAAGUAUAUAUAUAUCUAUGUAUUCCAUCCCAAAAUAUAAGUAUUUCUGGGGUUUGAAAACUUUCCGGUAAUAUAAGCACUUUAGACUGCCACUUCCCUCAACAAACACCCCUCAUUUAAUUUUCUCUCAGGCUUACCCCAACUGUCAUCCCACUCCCUAAACACCCUUCAGUUAAUGAGGGGCGUCAUUAUAUUUUUCCUUUAUCCUUAUCUCUCCUAGAAAAGGAGGAGUACAAUUUUAUCUUCAAUCAGGGGUUUGUUUUCAAUCAGUUGAUACAUCAGUUGUACUGUAGUAACGAUGGGUACAGUCUCCAAUGUAAACUCAAGGUAAAACGGAUUUAGUUAUCCCUUUUUGGUGUUUACUAUCUUGUUUGUAUUUCUCAUGAUUGAUGGCAUUUCUGAAGCAUGAUGCCGCAGUGUCCCCCUCCACCAAAAAGGAAAGGAAAAGGAAAAGGAUCUUUAUGGGCAUAUGCCCCCAUGUACUACAGUCCUUCAAAAUUCAGAUUCUCAGACAACAAGGUGCAGUGAAAUUGUUGCAACGUGCCUUGGACAGUUGGACCAAUGCAGUCCUUAAAAAGGGGCAUCGUGCCAAAAGGAUGUGCAUGGAUUUUCCCCUCGUUUGCAAACUGAAGCCGUGAAGCGUGGCCUCAAAUGCUGAAGUGUGCUGUCCAUGAAGACGCGAAGCCAAGUAUGGGAGUAAUGGGAGUCCCAGUGCGGCCACUAUGAAGAAAGAUAAUUUUGAGAAAUUAAAACGGACCGCGGCCUCUUCCGGAGUCAACUUUAGCAUGUUGAUUUCAAGCAACUUGUACUGCAUUGCACUACCACUCAAGACUUCUUUUGCUAUAUCAACUCUGCAAAACUUUUGUACUGUACAUUGUAUUGUGCUGGUUUUAAGUAUGUUUGUUUUUGCAACAA